GAUUACCCAUGGAAAUCCUCCUGGUUGUGCCAUAACCUGCAGGUGUCUAUUUGGCAUCCACCAGGCAGAGGAACAUAAAAAGAGCCUGCUGGAUCAGGCCAAUGGCCCAUCUUAGUCCAGCAUCCUGCUCUCAGAACUAAAUGCCUAUGAGAAGACGGAAAACCAACUAUGGGAAGCCUGAAAGCAGAGCCUGAGUAUAACACUUGUGGCUUCCAGCAACUAGCAUUCAGUGAAGGUAGAGCACAGCCUUAUCCUCCAUUUCCUUGCCUUUUCUUCUGGUGGCAAACACUGUCUGGCAGUGUACAAACCAACAGUGCUACACUGAAAACAUUUUGGCUUACCAUGGCUUUUGCUGGCCAGCCAUCAUGGUAUUUUAAGGUUAUUUUUACAGUCUACCUGAUGGUUUAUCUUGCUGCAUUUAACUGUUUUGAUUGUACUUGUACUGUAACUUAUGAUCUUGUUUUAUACCACCCUGAGAUACCCACAUAACAGUGUGUACUUUUUAAACCAAUAAUUAAAUAUAUAUAUAUAUAUAUAUAGUAUGAGGGCUGAAGUUGGUGAAUUCUGGAAGGAUUCUGGCAAGGGACAAAUACUUGUGUCAUUAUCAUCAACACAAUUUUUUUUUUGGGGGGGGAAGGAUUAUUCUCCAUUCCCAAAAUGGAGAUAAACUUAACUCAAAAGUAAGAAAUGAGGUUUAUCUACUGGAUAACUCCAACAGAAAAUUAGUUCAGAGGAGUAUUAGGUAGGACAAGGGGAACCCGGGCUUAAAUGCUUGCCCAGGCAUGACACUUACUACUGGGUGACUUUCACAAGUCUGUUUCUUGGUAGGCUUAAAUCUGUUUCACUUUGUGGGGAACUAUCAGAUAGUACAUUCCCACUCUGGUAUAGGGUGGGAGACAAAUAUAACCACAUGUACCAGAUUUCUUAAAACUAAGGAGGUUAUUUGCCUCUGCAACUGUUCCAGUCGCAUGAUCUCACCCAUUCUGAAUGAUGCCCAGUGCUGUUUUUCCAUGCCUGAGAACUGAUUUUUUAAGAGAUACCUGGUCCACGGCUAUCUGUAAAAAAAGCCACCACUUCUCCUCUUAAAAUACAUAGAAGCAUAGAUGAAUUGCACACGGUCUGCCCCCAUACUGUUAUCUACACCUGCCUAUGAAUGAUCUUCAAUAUUCAAGAAGGGUGCAGAUAUUUUUUAUUUAUUGUUUCCAGGUGCAAAGCAGAACAUGAGAAUCUGCCUUGAAUUACCCUGCAGCAACGAGGGCUUAUAGUGGUAUUUAAGCUAGGUCCAUUCAUUUCAAAAGGUCUACUCAGAGUAAAACUUGAAUACCACUCUUAAUUUCAGUGCAGGCACAGAUGUGACCAGCUCUGACAGGGCUCAGUCUCGGAUUCGGCAAAAUAAUUUGGCUCAUUUGUGGAACAAGCUUCCUCUGUGCGUGCACCAAAAGGUUAUUUGAAAAAUCCCUUAGGACAUCUUUUACAUACUGAACACAAGCUAGUAAUGACAUAUUUUUUUCCAUACCCAUUUGCUAAAGCCAGGCUCAAAAACUAUAGGGAAAGUGUUACAGGGACAUACAACAGAUAAAUGUGUGUUUUUUUUAUGGAGGAGGGCACAGCAAUUUUCUUUUACUUUCCUUGCAGAAAAAACAGCUUGACAGAUGGGCGCCCUUCCCUGGUCUCACUGGGAGAUGCCUAUACCCAUGUAGCUUGGAGGCAUCCCUUGCUUGCAACUAUUCUCUCUGCUCCCCCCCUCCCUCCCCGCCAGGGCCACAAUGUGGUAGCUCUCUGAUUGUUUGCUUCCCGAUUUGCAUGGCAGGUGCAGCCCUCCACAUAGUGAUUUUUAAACUCCGGCCCCUCCCUCGCUUUCUCCUCCCAGGGCGGCAGGCUCUUCCCUCCCCAGGAACCCCAAUAAGCUCCCCCACCCCACCCUGCUUUCCCAGAAACUCGAGGAUUGCACGGCCAAGACGCAGUUUCCCCUUUCCUUUCUUCUAUAGAUGUGGCCAAAAGAACAGCCGAUUGUGAGAAGAGAAGCAGCCAGAAGCCCAGAGAGACAAGCCUGCAAAAAGGGACAUUGGGCAGGCAGGCGAAGGUGCGAGUGAGAGAGCACUAAUCGCUGAACCAGGAGACAAAUACGAUUACCAGCUCCGAGCCUUGAGUCAGAAAGUCUCAUAGACUUUAAGAUGUUAAUCCCCAAGCUAAUCCUUCCUUUGGCGUGUAGGAAUAGUGCAGCCACAAGAGUUGUUUUGUUAUUUAUAUUGGCG